rnacentral:misc_RNA from 1 species
UCUCACCUUACGGUGGCAGUCCCGCUAGAGUCCCCGCCGCUACGCGCUGGCAACUAACAGUAAGGGUUGCGCUCGUUAUGGGACUUAACCCGACACCUCACGGCACGAGCUGACGACAACCAUGCAGCACCUUGAAGAACGUCCGAAGAAGGCCACCUUUCAGCAGCUGUCGUUCCCCAUUUAAGCCCAGGUAAGGUUCCUCGCGUAUCAUCGAAUUAAACCACAUGGUCCUCCGCUUGUGCGGGCCCCCGUCAAUUCCUUUGAGUUUCAACCUUGCGAUCGUACUCCCCAGGUGGAUCACUUAUUGCUUUCGCUCAGCCGCUUGCUGUAUAUCGCAAACAGCGAGUGAUCAUCGUUUACGGCGUGGACUAC